rnacentral:rRNA from 1 species
AGAAAGUAAGCAAGGGCAGACGGUGGAUGCCUUGGCUCUCGGAGGCGACGAAGGACGUGAUAAGCUGCGAAAAGCUCGGGGGAGGCGCAAAUAGCCCUUGAUCCCGGGAUAUCCGAAUGGGGCAACCCGGCAGGCUGAAGGCCUGCCAUCCCGUAAGGGAGGCGAACGUGGGGAACUGAAACAUCUAAGUACCCAUAGGAGGAGAAAAUAAACAAUGAUUCCGUAAGUAGUGGCGAGCGAACACGGAAGAGCCCAAACCCAUGUCGUCUAGGCGACACGGGGGUUGUAGGACCACGACGUGGCAAGAGGAUGGCAAGUGGAACGCCUUGGAAAGGGCGACCGUAGAGGGUGAUAGUCCCGUACACGACUGCCUGCCGAAGCCUAGUGGCAUCCUGAGUAGCGCGGGGCACGAGAAAUCUUGCGUGAAACAGCGGGGCCCAUCCCGUAAGGCUAAAUACUCCCGAGAGACCGAUAGCGAACCAGUACCGUGAGGGAAAGGUGAAAAGAACCCCGAGCAGGGGAGUGAAAUAGACCCUGAACCCGUCUGCCUACAAGCGGUCGGAGCAUAGCAAUAUGUGACGGCGUGCCUUUUGCAUAAUGAACCUACGAGUUACCUUCCCCGGCAAGGUUAAGUACCUAAGGUACGGAGCCGAAGCGAAAGCGAGUCUGAAGAGGGCGGCCAGUCGGGGGGGUAGACGCGAAACCGAGUGAUCUACCCUUGGCCAGGUUGAAGGUUGGGUAACACCAACUGGAGGACCGGAUGGGUAAGCGUUGAAAAGCUUUCCAAUGAGCUGAGGGUAGGGGUGAAAGGCUAAUCAAACUCGGAGAUAGCUCGUACUCCCCGAAAUGCAUUUAGGUGCAGCCUCUUUAUAGUAUAUCGUGAGGUAGAGCGACUGAUUGGAUGCGAGGGCUUCACCGCCUAUCAAGUCCAGAUAAACUCCGAAUGCGCGAUAUAUAUUUACAGGGAGUGAGGGCGCGGGUGCUAAGGUCCGUGUCCGAGAGGAGAAGAAUCCAGACCACCGGCUAAGGCCCCCAAAUGAUCGUUGAGUUGAACUAACGAGGUCGGAUCGCAGAGACAGCUAGGAUGUUGGCUUGGAAGCAGCCAUUCAUUUAAAGAGUGCGUAACAGCUCACUAGUCGAGCGAUCUGGCGUGGAUAAUAAUCGGGCAUAAACGAUCUGCCGAAGCCGUGGAUGUCGUAAGACAUGGUAGGGGAGCAUUCCAUGCGGCGUCGAAGAUGAGGGAUGACCCUUGUUGGAGCGCAUGGAAAAGCAAAUGUAGGUAUGAGUAACGAUAAGGGGGGCGAGAAACCCCCCGCCGAAAGACCAAGGUUUCCUGAUCAACGCUAAUCGGAUCAGGGUGAGUCGGGACCUAAGGCAAAGCCGAACGGCGCCGCCGAUGGAAGAAUGGGUUAAUAUUCCCAUACUGCCUCAUGGAGUGACGUGGAGACGGAGAAGUGACAGUCCUGCCGGCUGACGGAAUAGCCGGUUGAAGGGUGUAGAUAUUGAUUCCCGUAGGCAAAUCCGCGGGGAGAGUCGAACCUGACAGUAUACCGAGUACUUGUACGAGGUAAUAUGGACGUAACCAUGCUCCCAAGAAAAUCCGCUAAACUUAUCCAUGCGGCACCCGUACCGUAAACGGACACACGUGGUCGGGUUGAGAAUACUGAGGCGCUCGAGUGACUCACGGUUAAGGAACUAGGCAAAUUGACCCUGUAACUUCGGGAUAAAGGGUCCUCGUCGUAAGGCGAGGCGCAGAGAAUAGGUCCAGGCAACUGUUUAACAAAAACACAUGGCUAUGCUAAAUGGAAACAUGACGUAUAUAGCCUGACACCUGCCCGGUGCUGGAAGGUUAAGAGGAGAUGUCAUCGCAAGAGAAGCGUUGAAUUGAAGCCCCAGUAAACGGCGGCCGUAACUAUAACGGUCCUAAGGUAGCGAAAUUCCUUGUCGGGUAAGUUCCGACCUGCACGAAUGGUGUAAUGAUCUGGACACUGUCUCAACCGUGAGCUCGGUGAAAUUGUAGUAUCGGUGAAGAUGCCGAUUACCCGCGAUGGGACGAAAAGACCCCGUGAACCUUUACUAUAGCUUUACAUUGAAUUUGGGCAGACGAUGUGUAGGAUAGGCCGGAGGCUUUGAAGGGGGUACGCCAGUAUCCUUGGAGCCGCCGUUGAAAUACGGCCCUUCGGUUGUUUGAGUUCUAACUCCUAGGCAGGAGGACACUGUAUGGUGGGUAGUUUGACUGGGGUGGUCGCCUCCAAAAGCGUAACGGAGGCUUCUAAAGGUGCCCUCAGACCGAUUGGUAACCGGUCGUAGAGUGUAAUGGCAUAAGGGCGCUUGACUGGGAGAGAUACAACUCGAUCAGGUAGGAAACUAGAGCAUAGUGAUCCGGUGGUUCCGCAUGGAAGGGCCAUCGCUCAAAGGAUAAAAGGUACUCCGGGGAUAACAGGCUGAUCAUUCCCAAGAGCUCAUAUCGACGGAAUGGUUUGGCACCUCGAUGUCGGCUCGUCACAUCCUGGGGCUGGAGAAGGUCCCAAGGGUUGGGCUGUUCGCCCAUUAAAGUGGCACGCGAGCUGGGUUCAGAACGUCGUGAGACAGUUCGGUCUCUAUCUAUCGUGGGCGCAGGAGAUUUGAGGGACUCUGACACUAGUACGAGAGGACCGUGUUGGACGUACCACUGGUUUACCGGUUGUCCCGCCAGGGGCACCGCCGGGUAUCUAAGUACGGAUCGGAUAAGUGCUGAAAGCAUCUAAGUACGAAGCCGGCCUCAAGAUUAGAUCUCCCUGAAGGGUGGUUAUAGACGAUGACCUUGAUAGGCCACAGGUGUAAGGGCGGCGACGUCCGAGCCGAGUGGUACUAAUAGCCCGGGACUUUCCUCA